rnacentral:rRNA from 1 species
CUGCGUACCUUUUGUAUAAUGGGUCAGCGACUUAUAUUCUGUAGCAAGGUUAACCGAAUAGGGGAGCCGGAGGGAAACCGAGUCUUAACCGGGCGUUAAGUUGCAGGGUAUAGACCCGAAACCCGGUGAUCUAGCCAUGGGCAGGUUGAAGGUUGGGUAACACUAACUGGAGGACCGAACCGACUAAUGUUGAAAAAUUAGCGGAUGACCUGUGGCUGGGGGUGAAAGGCCAAUCAAACCGGGAGAUAGCUGGUUCUCCCCGAAAGCUAUUUAGGUAGCGCCUCGUGAAUUCAUCUCCGGGGGUAGAGCACUGUUUCGGCUAGGGGGCCAUCCCGGCUUACCAACCCGAUGCAAACUGCGAAUACCGGAGAAUGUUAUCACGGGAGACACACGGCGGGUGCUAACGUCCGUCGUGAAGAGGGAAACAACCCAGACCGCCAGCUAAGGUCCCAAAGUCAUGGUUAAGUGGGAAACGAUGUGGGAAGGCCCAGACAGCCAGGAUGUUGGCUUAGAAGCAGCCAUCAUUUAAAGAAAGCGUAAUAGCUCACUGGUCGAGUCGGCCUGCGCGGAAGAUGUAACGGGGCUAAACCAUGCACCGAAGCUGCGGCAGCGACACUGUGUGUUGUUGGGUA